UCCCUCCAGAUUCCUGUGAGCCCAGAGGGAGGGACUGUUACUGCGGUCACUGAGGAGUCCCGUGGUGCCUUGGAUUCACAGACUGGUCAGUUACUUACUUCAUCCGGGCUCCUUUUCUUCAGGUUUGCGAUGUCCUUCCUGCAUUUCUGCGUCCUGCAUCUCACCUCCAUUUCUUCCGCACGCCCUCCUUCUCCCUCUCACCUUCCCCUUUUUAUCCUUGAUUCAGAGCAGAGAUAACAAUGACUCGACUUGUUCACAUACGAAAAUAGCUCGCUUGUCAGAGCUGCAUGGGGACUGGUGCCACGGAAAUUCUGUGAGCAGAAGAACAGUUCAGAUCAGAGAAUUUUCUUUGGGUUUGGAGUGCUCCCUGGUCGUGGUCGUCUCCAGUCCACACCCCAUCCUGGGGAGCAGAUUUUCAGAACAUGGUGAUGAGUUGGUACAACAACACGAGCAAAGUUCCAGCCCACAGCACAUCCCUGUGAAGCUGUCAGAUGGAGGAUGUGGCACCUUGACUCGGCCACCCGUGGAAGCAAACAACGCCAGGAGUGACCCACCGACGCAUGAUCCUGCUCUUGGGAAGUUGGACCUCCGUACACACAGUCCCUUUGGAAGUCUCGUGAUUACCUGGAGAAGCACUGCAACUCGAGAGCUGGAGGCAGCAGUUGAGAAGUCAGACACUUUUAAACCCGGGCAUUUCCCAUCUUUUUCAUCGGAAUCUCUAAGAGCCUGGAAAGUGCUUUUUCCUGGCAUUGUAAGGGGGCAGGGAUCCCCUUGACAUUGGCCUGUGUUACUCAGGAUAUAGCUCAAGAUCCAGAGGAUGGGCCUCCUGAUAAGAUUCACAUGGUAAUCAUAGAAAAUCAGGCUGAACGCCUAGCGUAGAAUCAGGAAGAUUACGAGAUGAAUGGACUGAUGUGAAUAUGAAACAUUGCCUGUUCUUCAAAGUGAGAAAGAAGAAAAGAAAGAUACUGUGAGUGGAAUGAGAACUUGAUAGCAAACUAGAGCUACAGCCUUGGAGAAGAUGGACGAUAGAAUGGAAUCUGUUAGACACACGCUCAUGGAGACUAGCAUUUGCCAGGGGCCCACUGUGUGCCAAGUUCUGCACUUGGACUUCAUACUCUCUGCAGUGCAUGGUUGUACAUCCUAGCUGUAAAUCCUUCCAGUUCUUCCAUGCGAGCUGCCGCCACAGCAUGGCAACUGAGAGACGAGUGGUGUGGUUCCACGACCAGGCCACUGAAGUGGUGAGGGUGCCAAACUCUUAACCACUAGGCCAUCGGGGCCAGCUCUGUGCUGGUUAGUUUUGUGCGUCAACUUGACUUGGCCACAGGAUACCCGGAUAUUUGAUCAUACUCUGCAGGUACACCUGCAAUGGAUUUUCAGUAAACCCUCUUUGGUUGAACGAGCAAAGCUUCAUCUUCUCCCCUCCAUGUGAAGUACUGUGGCCUGAGCCCAUCAUGUGCAGCCAGCAAGUGUGACCGACUUUGCAGGGGAAACUGGAG
rnacentral:lncRNA from 1 species